UACAGAGGGUGCAAGCGUUGCUCGGAAUUAUUGGGCGUAAAGGGUAGGUAGGUGGUCUCAUUUGUCGGGGGUGAAAGCCUUGGGCUUAACCCAAGAAGUGCCUUCGAAACGGUGAGACUGGAGUCCUGGAGAGGGUCGUGGAAUUCCCGGUGUAGUGGUGGAAUGCGUAGAGAUCGGGAGGAACACCAGUGGCGAAGGCGGUGGCCUGGACCGAUGCUGACGCUGAGGCGCGAAAGCGUGGGGAGCGAUCCGG
rnacentral:rRNA from 1 species